AACGCCGAUAUGCUUCGGGGAGCUGUAAGUAAGCUUUGAUCCGAAGAUUUCCGAAUGGGGAAACCCACUAUACGUAAUGGUAUGGUAUCCUUAUCUGAAUACAUAGGGUAAGGAAGACAGACCCAGGAAACUGAAACAUCUAAGUACCUGGAGGAAGAGAAAGCAAAUGCGAUUUCCUGAGUAGCGGCGAGCGAAACGGAACAUAGCCCAAACCAAGAGGCUUGCCUCUUGGGG
rnacentral:rRNA from 1 species